CCUACGGGAGGCAGCAGUGGGGAAUAUUGCACAAUGGCGGAAACCCUGAUGCAGCGACGCCGCGUGAGCGAUGACGUCUUUCGGUGUGUAAAGCUCUUUUAGCAGGGAAGAAAAUGACGGUACCUGACUAUGAAGCCCCGUCUAACUACGUGCCGGCAGCCGCGGUACUACGGAGGGGGCAAGCGUUAUCCGGAUUUACGGGGUGUAAAGGGAGCGUAGACGGCGGUGCAAGCGAGUUGUGAAAGCCUGUGGCUCAACCCCGGGACUGCAUUUGGAACUGUGAUGCUUGAGUGUGGGCGAGGCAGGCGGAAUUCCUAGUGUAGCGGUGAAAUGCGUAGAUAUUAGGAGGAACACCAGUGGCGAAGGCGGCCUGCUGGACGAUGACUGACGCUGAGGCUCGAAAGCGUGGGGAGCGAACAGGAUUAGAUACCCUGGUAGUC
rnacentral:rRNA from 1 species